AUCAACUUUUUUACUAAGUAUUAUUAUUAAUAUAAAUCAUCACUUUUACAACCAGCUUUCUUUAGACAAGCCAGGAGCUGAAGACAUGAACAUUUCCAAGUCAUUGAAUGUGU